UUGGGUUAAGUCCCGCAACGAGCGCAACCCUCGACCUUAGUUGCCAGCAUUCAGUUGGGCACUCUAAGGUGACUGCCGGCUAAAAGUCGGAGGAAGGUGGGGAUGACGUCAAAUCAUCAUGCCCCUUAUGACCUGGGCUACACACGUGCUACAAUGGGCGGUACAAAGGGUCGCGAACCCGCGAGGGGGAGCCAAUCCCAAAAAGCCGCUCUCAGUUCGGAUUGCAGGCUGCAACUCGCCUGCAUGAAGCCGGAAUCGCUAGUAAUCGCGGAUCAGCAUGCCGCGGUGAAUACGUUCCCGGGCCUU
rnacentral:rRNA from 1 species